UUUCUCCGCCGGCGACCGGCGCACGGGUGAGUAACACGUAUGCAACCUGCCCCUGUCAGGGGGACAACCCGCCGAAAGGCGGGCUAAACCCGCGUACAUGCCACCGGGGCAUCCCGGAGGCAAGGAAAGGCUUCGGCCGGACAGGGAUGGGCAUGCGGCGCAUUAGGCAGUAGGCGGGUAACGGCCCACCUAACCGACGAUGCGUAGGGGUUCUGAGAGGAAGGUCCCCUACACUGGUACUGAGACACGGACCAGACUCCUACGGGAGGCAGCAG
rnacentral:rRNA from 1 species